rnacentral:lncRNA from 1 species
GUAAAUUGAACAUAAGUAAACUUAAUUUACAUUAACCUAAAUUGAACAUAAGUAAACUUAAUUUACAUUAACCUAGAUUGAACGUAAGUAAACUGAAUUUACAAACUUAAUUUACAUUAACCUAGAUUGAACGUAAGUAAACUGGAUUGAACGUAAGUAAACUGAAUUUACAAACUUAAUUUACAUUAACCUAGAUUGAACGUAAGUAAACUGAAUUUACAUUAACCUAGAUUGAACAUAAGUAAACUUAAUUUACAUUAACUUAGAUUGAACGUAAGUAAACUGAAUUUACACUAACCUGUUAUAUACAUACGUAAACUAAAUUUACAUUAACCUAAAUUGAACAUAAGUAAACUUAAUUUACAUUAACCUAGAUUGAACGUAAGUAAACUGAAUUUACACUAACCUAAAUUGAACAUACGUAAACUUGAAUUUACAUUAACCUACAUACGUCAACUACACUAACCCCUUUUAUAUACAUACACG